UGAAACUUCUCCCAUCUUCACAGCCUUCCCAGAGCUGUAUUUGUGGGCCAUGUCAAACUCAUGGGGUGUCACUUUUAAGAGCUGUUAAUAACCAAAUCACCCUCCAAUUAGUCCCAUCAAUUCACGGAAGAAGUUCUCAUAGAAAAUAACCUCUGAAUGUACCCUCCUUCCAUUAGGUUUCAGUGCAUAACCAGCAUAGCACCUCAGGUAGAAAAUGCUUUCCCUAUUCCAAUCUAUCUCUAAAGAAAAUAAAUUUCUAGCUCAUUUGUCGUUGUUUUCUCUGCCACAUAAAUAAGUGGUACAGGGGGCAAACUGCAAUAAAGUUUCCUCUUUAGAGAAGCAGAACAAAUUCUGUUCUUACUGCAAAAAUUUAAAAAAGAAAAAACUUGCACAUUAAACAAUAAUGGUAAACAAAACAUACUAAUGUUUUUUCUAAGUUUUCUAUUUAUCCUCAAAAUGCUUCAGUUGUUGCACACAGAAUUUUAAGCACUGUAUUUUCUUUAAAAAGCAAGGAUCAUCAUAAUUUAGAACAAAUUUGAUUUUCUGGAUAAGGAAGUAGCACUCAACUUUCUAAAACAAGUGAGUUUUCAUUUAACAGAUAAUUGAUUUUGUAAGUCAAGUUUCAAAGUAGCUGGGUUUUCAGAGCUGAGGAUCUGAAUGUCAGAAUUUCAAUUGUUUUUUUACCUGUAUGCACCAUUCUCUAAUAGCAGCUCCACAGCCACUCAGCAACUCUCAGCUCAACACCUUUAGAGCAAGAAAAUUUGUCCUGAAUUGUCCAGUGCAGCUCUUAAUUCAGGAGCAAAGGAAAGAGACAGCAAUGAAAUAAACAUAAAACUAUAGGUUGAGGGUCUAUUUUUGGCUUUGGAAAGUUGUCACCACUACAGCAGCUUUAGUUCCUUGCACUCACAGCACUGCUUUUCUGCUGGUUGCUCAUCAGUUCUGAGUCUUCGGGACACUGUGUGACGCAUUGGUCUUUACCACAGCCUUGGUUAGCUCAGGGGGAGAAGCCUGGAAGUAGCCUGAGGGUGAGAUGCUGGGGAAGAGAUCCUGAAGGACACAGCCAGGGCCAGCUCCCUGUGGGGUCUCCACCGCUCCUGAGAAACUACCACAAUACCAAAACAAGUGAUUCCUCCCACACUACCAUCAAGUCAUACCUUACCAAAAGUCUACAAAUUCUCCAGCCCUACUUAUUAAGUCAUAAAGUAGUAGCUGUUCCACCCAUAAUGAGAUCACUUAUCUUGUAACUAAAUAUCUAUGGCUCUCUCGGAAAACCAGCACCAUGUAUUAUUGUGUUCCAGGAAGAAUUCUCCCCAAAGCUUAAAGAGAAAGUAAAUUUAAUUCCAUGUUUUUAUGGAGGAGGAGGAGGAGGAGGAGGCUGGCAUAGGGAAAGGGGGAAGUGUGUUACAAGGGGAAUAGUGGGUUUUCAAAUUCAUCUAGUUUUAUACACUUUAUUAUUAGAGACAGAUAAAAUUUAAACUAUUUUGGUGGGCUAAUUGCAUUCUGAUUUGAAGGCAUGAUCACAUAUCACAAAAUUUAAGUCAAGUUCCUGUACUAGAAUGAAUGAACAACAUUCACAAAACCCACUAAUGGAAUCACAAGGUGAUUAUGGGAACAUUCAUUUCAAGAACAGACAUUCAUCACUUAGUUGCUUUUCUUUUUUAGUAGUGAGCGAAUAGCUGCUAUCCCAUAUACCAUAUAAAGUCUUCUGAAGUUUCGAAGACCUUGCUGCUGUAAUAUUCAAGCAUUUCAAAGUUUUCAGUGCCUUUGUCUUCCUAGCAAAUCUAAAAGCUUUGGAAAAUCUCAUUUUCUAGAAUAGAGAAAAAAAUGGAACUCCUGUCCAUAGUGGAAUAAAAGAAUUUUGAAGCAUCCCACUUCAAACCAAUGCUGAAACAAAAGAUACCUCCUCUUCUGUGGACACCACUGAAAGCCCAGGCACCCAGGCAAAGUUUGCCAAGCCUUUUCUCAGGUUAUGAGUCUUUUUCCUCAGGCUGUGAAACUUUCUCCUCUCCAGCCAGGAUUUUUCCCAGGCUAGAGGCUUUUCUCUACUGUAAACACAAGAGAAAGAAUUAUAGCAAAAGACAAACACCUGCUGGAUCUGUGGGAAAGCCAGGGACAAAAGGUGUCUCUUUCUCUGACCAAUGAACUGUCUGUAUUUUGUUUUUCAUGAACUGUCUUAUUUAAAGCCAUGGCUUCCUUCAAUAAACUGCUCUUUCUUGCACCA